UUAUAUAUUAUCUGUAUGCUUAUAUACAAUUGUUGUUACAGGUAUCAAGUCGGUGCCUGCUGCUGAAACUCUAGUGAGGGAAAUCAGCAAAGCUGAUUUGAAAGUUGAUAGUAUGACAAGAAGAGAUAUGGUUAAAGUUUAUAUUAGAAAUUUAAUAAAAUUUCCUUCAGGUGGUCAUUAUAAAUUCAAUUCUCUUGAAAAUUGCAUUUUAAUUGGAUUAUACAUAACUUCAUUGCUUCAAGAACAUCAAGCACAUAAAUUUAUGAAAUCUGCAAGUGUUGACACUAAUGAUAAUUGCACACUUACUUCUGCACAAGGAGAUUUUACUUUCUACGCAACAAAUAUUAUGAUUGGCGUAUAUCAAUAUUGGCCGGACAGUCACAAAAAGAUAUU